AGUGAACGCUGGCGGUAGGCCUAACACAUGCAAGUCGAACGGCAGCACAGUAAGAGCUUGCUCUUACGGGUGGCGAGUGGCGGACGGGUGAGGAAUACAUCGGAAUCUACUUUUUCGUGGGGGAUAACGUAGGGAAACUUACGCUAAUACCGCAUACGACCUACGGGUGAAAGCAGGGGAUCUUCGGACCUUUCGCGAUUGAAUGAGCCGAUGUCGGAUUAGCUAGUUGGCGGGGUAAAGGCCCACCAAGGCGACGAUCCGUGGCUGGUCUGAGAGGAUGAUCAGCCACACUGGAACUGAGACACGGUCCAGACUCCUACGGGAGGCAGCAGUGGGGAAUAUUGGACAAUGGGCGCAAGCCUGAUCCAGCCAUACCGCGUGGGUGAAGAAGGCCUUCGGGUUGUAAAGCCCUUUUGUUGGGAAAGAAAAGCAGCAGGUUAAUACCCCGCUGUUCUGACGGUACCCAAAGAAUAAGCACCGGCUAACUUCGUG
rnacentral:rRNA from 1 species